CGCUGGCGGCGUGCUUAACACAUGCAAGUCGAACGAGACGAUUGAAAGCUUGCUUUGAGAGUCGAGUGGCAAACGGGUGAGUAACGCGUAGACAACCUGCCGCAAAGAUGGGGACAACAGUCCGAAAGGACUGCUAAUACCGAAUGUUGUCAAGUUUCCGCAUGGGAGCUUGAUUAAAGAUGGCCUCUACUUGUAAGCUAUCGCUUUGCGAUGGGUCUGCGUCUGAUUAGCUAGUUGGUGGGGUAACGGCCUACCAAGGCGACGAUCAGUAGCCGGUCUGAGAGGAUGAACGGCCACAUUGGAACUGAGACACGGUCCAGACUCCUACGGGAGGCAGCAGUGGGGAAUCUUCCGCAAUGGGCGAAAGCCUGACGGAGCAACGCCGCGUGAGUGAAAGAAGGGUUUCGGCUCGUAAAGCUCUGUUGAUGGGGACGAAUGUGCGAAAUGCGAAUAGUUUUUCGCAAUGACGGUACCCGUCGAGGAAGCCACGGCUAACUACGUGCCAGCCGCGGC
rnacentral:rRNA from 1 species